UUAAAUACCAGUGUGGGAAGUACGUUCACUGUGCCAGAUCAGUCUUAUGACCAUGUUUUUCCUGACACCCGUCUUAGUAGCGGUUGCCUGCAUUUUGAUUGUGUGGAUCUUUAAAAAUGCUGAUGGAAGCAUCAAGAAAAGGAAGGGGGAGGCUACAGCCAGGGCUGAGGCGCAUCCCUGGGUGGAUGAAGACUUAAAAGACAGCACUGACCUCCACCAAGUGGAAGAAGAUGCUGAUGAAUGGCAAGAGUCAGAAGAAAAUGUUGAACAUAUCCCAUUUUCCCAUACCCGGUAUCCUGAGAUGGAAAUGGUGAAGAGAUCUCAGGAAUUUUAUGAACUUCUCAAUAAGAGGCGGUCUGUCAGAUUCAUAAGUAAUGAACAAGUCCCAAUGGAAGUCAUUGACAAUAUCAUCAAAACAGCAGGAACAGCCCCAAGUGGGGCCCACACAGAGCCCUGGACCUUUGUGGUUGUGAAGGACCCCAACAUGAAGCAUAAGAUUCGGGAGAUCAUUGAGGAGGAAGAGGAAAUAAACUACAUGAAAAGGAUGGGACGCCAAUGGGUUUCAGACCUGAAGAAAUUGAGAACCAACUGGAUUAAAGAGUACUUGGACACAGCUCCUGUUUUGAUUCUCAUUUUCAAACAAGUCCAUGGUUUUGCUGCCAACGGCAAAAGGAAGGUCCACUACUACAAUGAGAUCAGUGUUUCGCUGGCUUGCGGCAUGCUCCUCGCUGCCCUGCAGAAUGCAGGACUGGUGACGGUCACCACCACACCUCUCAACUGCGGCCCCCGGCUAAGGGUGCUCCUGGGUCGCCCUGCAAAUGAAAAGCUGCUGAUCCUGCUCCCUGUGGGGUACCCCAGCAAAGAGGCCACAGUGCCCGACUUAAAACGGAAACCUCUGGAUCAGAUCAUGGUGACUGUGUAGGCAGGAGAGCACAGGAAGAUGCUGGAAGAUGAUGCCCCCGAUGCCCUCCCCUGUUCUCUUGGGCCAACGGGCUGCCUCUUCUCUAGGUGCUAGGUUUCCCCAGCAGUCCACUCCACGAGGUAGCCACUUUGUGUGUCAAGACACCUUUGCACGUUCUCCAGCACUGCACAUCUGAGAAGCCCUGCUUCUGGUGGACAGUGAUUAGUGAAUGUAGAGUUAAGAGCUCAGCAGGAGGAACUUGGACUCCCACUUUGCCAAGAGUGAUGUUUUCAUUGGUUGCUGUGAGAGCCAGGAUGGCUCAGGGCAGUGGUCCUCCAACGUCAGUUUGCAUCACAGCCACGUGGAGGGCUUGUUCAGGCACAGACCCCGGGGUGCCACCUGCAAAGCAUCUGGUUUAGUAGGGCUGCAUUCUAGCAGGUUCCCGGAUGGUGUCGAUGCUGCUGCUCUGAGAACCACCAGGCUGUGUCAAUCAUCAGCAACGCUAACUCUUCAGUGAGUCAGCAUAAUAAAAGCUUAUUUCUGGGGCAAGCAAGGUCCGCACAGACCCUGGAAUCCCUUCAAAACAUUGUUCUCCAUGGGUGACUCAGCUGUCGUGUGUCUACACUAUCGAGAGCACGUGGCGUCCUUACUCAGAGGGAGAAAACAGUGGCGGUGCUCACCCCACCAACUACAUGCCUUAGCCCGGGAGUGACUCCUCAUCACAACCUGCUGGCCAAGACUGGUCACAUGGCCUCAGCGGAAGGGGGUGGGGUCACCCUCUGGGGGAGAUGCCAUCCUGUGCCUGGAAGGAGCGAAGACCAGCUGUGGGUAAACAUUAGAAGUCUCUCCCCAGGAGCAAGUGACUGUGAACUUGGGAAAUAAAAUUGGGUAUGACUGAAAGGGGGGGAGAGGAAGGAAGCAGGAAAACAUGGGUGAAACUAGGAUAGGAUGGUGAAAGGCACGAAGGUUCUCUUCUGAGAGGUUAACAGUAAGAUUUGUUCAUAUUUGUCUGAUACAGCUUUUAAAUCCAGUAUCAAUUUGGGCCAAGAAAAUCAAUACGAAUAUGAGAUGUUCCUGCUUCUGCCCACACAGUGGAAAUUACUGUUUCAGAAGUACUGAGGGGAAGCCCCAGUUUCCACCUUUUAUUUGCUCAGCCCUAUGAAAGGAAGAGGGACAUCUUUGGUCAGUGAAUCUGGGAGAACUGGGUUAUUGAACAUGGGCAAACCCCAAUAAAGAAUAUUGCAGUUUAUGCAAUGGACAAAUGAGGGUGAUUACUCACUGUAAAAAGAUGAUCCACUAAUGGAUUUCUCUAAAUAUUGGAGUUUUCAAAGAGUAGUCAAACUGGUAUAAUACAUAGUUCUUAAAUUUUGUACACAUCUUUUUGGAAUAUUUAUAACCUGAAGAAAAACAUCAUUAUCAGUGAAUAUGUUGCAUGCGAGGCAUGAGAAAUACAAUUUAUUUUGCCAGAUAAGGCAAAUAAAAAACUUCCUUUGCCAAAUAGGGAGCAAAGUACUCCCUUAUAAUUUGGUGAAGUGGGAACAACUGUGUCAGCCCACACGUAUCUGGGCACGGUGAGAAGUUAAAGCAAAUGCUAUUGAGGCUCUGUGGCUAGGGUGCCCUCCCUCCCACGCAGAAAAGGCUACUCUCAUUCAAAAGUGGAACUGCUUAGCUACCUGUGCAGGCGAUGAGGAAAGAGAAGGGGAGGGAGGUGGGGAUGGUAAGAGAGGCCUGGCACAGGAGUGCAGAGAAGGUGCAACAGGCUGAGAUCGGGUUGAGACCUGAUCAGUGUUGUCUGGGUGGCCUCAGCCAAGUUACAGGAUGUCAGGGGCUCGCUCCAGGGAGAACAGCACCCAAAGUGGAGAUCUUGCCAAAUUAAAUACAGUAGUUCUGAUGAAAUAUGAGCUGCUGUAAUCCCGUUUUAGGAAUUCCUAAAAAGUCACAAGGAAGGGGUGGUUUGUGUUAUUAUGACUUUAGAGUCAUGGCUCAGAGCCAAAUGUUCAGGAUUAAACGCAAGCACAUUGAAAGCCCUUAGGGCCACAUGGAAAUAUGCAAGCAAUGUCUGCAGAGUGUCCAAUAAACAUAAUAGCCAGUGAAAUAAUAAAGGAAGUUGGUGAACUUGGGAGGAGGAAGAGCUGCCGACUUCCUUCUAUGCUAAUCAUUAAAAAUAAAGAAUAAUAGCUUAGAGGUAACUGGAAUAUGGUUUCAAAAUCGACUUCUCUGAAGAGUGUCCCCUCUUGUCAUAGUGAUCGCAGAAAGGGUCAGGUGCUCAUUUCCCUGGGGGCUUUGCUCCUAAGCUUAUCUACAAUGUCAACCAUAUUAUUGUCAUGAGUUCUUGGAUAGGGAACUUUGACUUCCUUGGGGUAAAAAAAUCUAUUCCCUUGUUGAGUAAGUGACUUUCCAAGUCAGAGAAUGUUUAGAAUUAAAUACGGAGCAGCUGAAAUAAAUCAAACACCUAAUAUUGAUAUUUUCAUGUUACCUUGAGAAAUAACCUGUGUAUGUUUCUUACUUAAGUGACUUAAGUGUUUUUAAAAUUUACAAUUCCAAUUUAAAAUGUAAAAUUGAUUUCAGGCUUGUGAUUUGAAAGUUGAAAGCUGUAAGAAAAUGUGACUUAGCUCAUUUUAACACUUAGAAUAGAUUCACUAUAAGUUUGAUUGAUUAAAUUUAGAAAAGAUGUUUAAGUAUAUGAAAACACUUUGGCUUAAUCGGGUGUAAGCUUGCCAGGUCAAUUUUUGAAGUGCUAAAACAGAAAAUUAAUGAUGAUUAAGUCUAUACAAGGAGUUUAAAAUGUUUAAGAAAUUUAAAUAAAUAGUGCUUCUAAAUAAAACUGAUGGUUUAAAGGAAUUUGAUUUUUUUCAGCUUGAGUUACUUGAACAU